CCCAAGCACACGCUUCUCAGCGGGACUUUGUAAUACUAUGUGCACUCCCUCAUGUGUUACUAUUAUACCCAACAGGAAACAGAAUUGGACAUACUGGUUAAUGCUUCAACCAAAUUUACUCGCUCAAGAACAUUUCCAUAGUUUUUCUGCUUUGUUCUUUUUUAACAAUUAAUUACUGUAAUUAUUUCCUGAUAUCUGGGAUACAUACGACCUGUCCUGUGUAAGUGGAGGAGAGUAAAACGCAUUUGGAUUGAGACAUGGAGCAGCUCUUUUUUCUUCUCAUUCCCCUGUUUGCAUCUUCAUCCAUAAUCUCAGCAGGAAAUGACACAAGCAUACAAACUACGUUACCUCCAAACACAAAUGCUACAUCUCCAUGGUCUGUUGAUUCAAGAACAGAAGUCCAAACUGAAAAAACAAUGACUUCUGCUUUUUCAUCUCAAUAUGAGAAUGGCAAGACCAGCCACACCUCAAAAACUGUGAGCAUAACCACAGCUCCUGUAUCUUCUAGCCACACAGGACAGUCCAUCAAUACCAGCUCCAAGUUAACAACACCAAAAUCCUACACUGACACAACUCUAAAUUCCACCUCAUCCCCAGCAGCCAAAAUAACAGGUUUUACCUCCUUCUUCUGGCUUUCGCCCCCCCAAAAUUCUUAUUUGCCAAAAUAUGAACAGUAAGUAUCAUUAUAAAUGUAAAUGGACAAGAUAUAGCUGAGUUUUGGGGAUCAAAAUCAGUGGAAGUGGAUGACAGUCAUGUAACCUGUACCAUUGUUUGCUCAGGCAGUACUGAUGGAUCUGGCCUCUCUUCGCAUAACACAUCAGGUAGUAAUUAUUAACUGCUGGUAAAAGAAUAGCUCACCCAAAAAUGAACAUUUGCUGAAAUAUACUCACCCUCGC
rnacentral:lncRNA from 1 species